rnacentral:rRNA from 1 species
GAUGAACGCUGGCGGCGUGCCUAAUACAUGCAAGUCGAGCGAACAGACGAGGAGCUUGCUCCUCUGACGUUAGCGGCGGACGGGUGAGUAACACGUGGAUAACCUACCUAUAAGACUGGGAUAACUUCGGGAAACCGGAGCUAAUACCGGAUAAUAUAUUGAACCGCAUGGUUCAAUAGUGAAAGACGGUUUUGCUGUCACUUAUAGAUGGAUCCGCGCCGCAUUAGCUAGUUGGUAAGGUAACGGCUUACCAAGGCGACGAUGCGUAGCCGACCUGAGAGGGUGAUCGGCCACACUGGAACUGAGACACGGUCCAGACUCCUACGGGAGGCAGCAGUAGGGAAUCUUCCGCAAUGGGCGAAAGCCUGACGGAGCAACGCCGCGUGAGUGAUGAAGGUCUUCGGAUCGUAGAACUCUGUUAUUAGGGAAGAACAAAUGUGUAAGUAACUAUGCACGUCUUGACGGUACCUAAUCAGAAAGCCACGGCUAACUACGU